CGAUGGGACAAGACUGUCACUAGCAAUUGGAUAUCACGAAAUUGGGGAGAAAAAGGGGUAAAAAGUAAAAUAUAUAUAUAACAUCCGGACAAUAGAAGUUUUGUGUUUUAAACUUCGGAGUAGAUCACCCAUCAAAGGAGUAAUGUAAGGGGUAACGACGGAUGUUCAGGUUCAAUACCUGAAGAGAAUUCCUAGUGUGGUUGGUGCCCGCCGUCAGACCCGCAGGGUGAAUGGAGAAAUAAGAAAAAGGUCUGCCGGCCCACGUAUGUGAAGCUUAGUUUUGUAAGAUACACUGUAAGAGCUUUCAUCCCCAAACCAUUGCAGUGUAAGAAUUGUAAAGGAUUUGGCAAUGUUUCAAGUGUGUGCAGACGGACAGUUUAGUUUAGUUUAUUUAUUAAUUUUCGGAGUUUGCUAGUUUUUUGCUAGUUUGUUCCAUUUUUAGGAAUCCUGUUUCCAUCCCGCACGGUAGUUGAUGGGAUGCACAUUAAAUUGUGCGAUCACCAUAUACCAUAGAAGAAGAAGAAAUGUUUUGAGAAGAAUAAACAUUGUGAAAUGGACGAAAGAGGACAAUGUAUUGGCAGGGCAAAACACUCUUUCCCGACUGGUGUGAGGUCUAUCUACAGGUGACCAGGUGGACCUCUUCACCAGGCAGGCCUUCGCUGCAGUCUUACAUCACCAGCAAAGGUCUAUGAAGAGGUACUUUAUAUUAAGACUGUGCUUCCAACCUGCCGCCUGGAUAUCUCAGCAUCCACGAGGGCAUCAUCAAGCAUUCUGGUCCAGUGAUUAAAUGGGUUGGUGGAGGGAAGCCAUUAUUAGGUGUCAACUCACCUGGUCCCUACUGAGUGUCCACACACAGAGUGAUGGUUCAUAUUGUAGCUCACGAGUAGGGACUGGAACAUCACUUCAGGUCCUAUGUGAAGUUUGUGUUCAAGCCAGAGCCGAACUCAGCCAGUGGGGUCCCUAACCCUCAGAGUGUCCAUGAGGAGCUGGCUAAAGCCAUGACAGCCAACCUCAACCCCUCCACUUACUUCCUCACCAGCAACAAACUGCUACUCAUGGUACUUCGUAGAAGCCCUGGUGAAGUCUAUGGCCCAGCAUAGGACCCAGAGUGGUAAAUUCAACCUGUCUAGCAAACCAAUUUUCUCUGCCUCCUUCCACCACACAGUAGAGAAAAAUGCUGAGGCCUCACAUCAGCAAGAACUACAAGGACAAACUGGACGCUGCCCGAAACGCCAACCACAGUCUGGCAGUCUUGGAGUGCCAUAGACAGCCAACAAAAAAGUUGUUGGUUUCAUUAAAAAAAUUGCCACAUUUAGUUCUAUGGUAAUGCUAUUUUCUUGCUAUGAGGACUGAUGACUUAUUGUAUGCUACACGAAGCAAAAUAAAUACGUGCACCCUAUACUAUCAGGGUAGAUUAUUGGUGUUUCUUGUGCUAUGUAGAAACUAUUUGCUAGUCAUUUAAAUAAAAAAGUAAUAGUAAUUUACACAAUAACAGGGAAACAGAGCAUUGCUUUAGAAUACAGUGUCAAGACCCCAUAGGUACACUGAAACUAUGGGGAAACUGUACAGAAAGUAAGCUACACUGAAACAAUGGUCAUAGUAAUUUACACGGUAACGGGAACAGGGCAUUGCUUUAGAAUACAGUCUCAAGGCCCCGCAGGUACACUGAUACUAUGGGGAAACUAUCCAGGAAGAAACAGUAAGGCACACAAACUGAUGAAAGUAGUAAGGAAUCUAAUAGUAAUUUACAGGGGAACAGAGCGUUGCUUUAUAAUACAGUGUCUUGGCCCCAUAGGUACACUGAAACAAUCUGGUGAAACUACGCCUACGCAUGAAGUAACAAAUAAGGUACAUAAUAUGUACUUAAGUACAGUGCUGAAAUAACUGUAUAAUGAUAGGAAAGUAAUCGGAAACAAGACAAAAGGCAGCUACAAGCAAAGACCUAAAAGGGACGUUUUUAGGAUGGUCCACAUAAAGCAUAAGUGAAAGUUCCAAGUACAUUCUUAAUAAGUAUACCCUCUAUUAUUGAUAGUUCUUUAUGUUCCUACAUAACAACCAGGAUAAUUCAUCACUCUUUAUAUCAGUACUUAGCAGCUACAAACAAAAUAUUAAUGGAUAAUUGGUGUUCAUGCCUGGUUGUUGCCAUCUUAUUUCAUUGUUUUUUUCCAGGUACUUUCCAGACAUUACCCUCUUAUUCAGCUAUCCUUGUGACCUAAGCCACCCUGCUAUUUCCUGUUUCCUGUGUUCCUCUGCCCUCAAAUUGGAGGAGAGCUGAGUAAAUGUAACCCAAUCAGCUUCAAGCUUUCAGCCUCUCUAGUAAUAGUAUUUUAUGUUCUCUUCCUGUGUAGGGGGAUUAUUUGAUAAAACAAUGAAUUUGUUCUAACUGCCAUUAGCCCAUAGAAACACGUUCAAUAUUCAUACAUGGUAAAACAGAUUGUAAAGUCAAAAGUAUGUUUUGGGGGGGGCGCUAGUGACAAACCCAUGGAGUAGGCCAAUUGUAUUUAUUUAAUAGUUUCUUUGUGCUUUGACCCGCUAAAGAACUAGAAAACGCAGCCUUUGAAUGACGUGCGUUACUUUGCCCAACUUUUAUUUUACUUUUACUUUUCCUACCCGGCUCUGUGUAACAUACACUGGCAUCGAAGGCUAUGGCCGUCCUAAAGGAGAACAUUCUACCGUGGUCAGAUGAAGCAAAUGGCUGAAUGUUCACCUAUUUGGCAAUUAGGGUAAUGGACGGAUGUGUUUACCUCUGCAGACUCAGUCUCUCUUUUGUAGAUACUGUAUAGUGUUGCCAGUGGUGUCAGUUGAUAUUGUUAUUAUUAGGCAACGUUAGUGCCUUAGUUCUGGUGAGCUAAUUGUCCUUUUGUUUUAAUGUUUCAUUUUAUUACCAUGAAGCUGCUCGUUUCUAUUUUUCUCGACGGUACUCGUAUCCAGGGUAGAUAAAGCACAGUUCUAUUAUUAGGUCACGUAAUUUCAUUAAAGACGUUGCUGAUAACUUUGUGGUAUUGCUGUAAGAUGUGAUUUAUAAAAUGUUUUAUUCUUUCUUUUAAAACAGCCUAGUUUUGGGUUGUAAAUAAGUAUUUCUUAUUUAUUUAUUUUUGCGCAACUUGUUUUAAAUCUUUCACUAUUUCAGUGGGGCUCUCUACCCGAUAGGUUUAAAGUUCCCCACCACAAACACAUUAGGUGUGGAUAUCUUUUCACUACUGCCGUUUUAAAGGAGGGUGGAUCGGCCAAUCAUAUAAUUAAAAUUUUCAUUCUAAAAUUAGAGGAGCAGCCAUUUUAAUUAGUUAAAAAAUACCGUUCCAAAUGUCAAGUGUAGAGUCAGACUCAGCAGGCCGUGUCAUUAUUCUAGUAGGAAUACUGUAUAAUACACCUGGUAUCUUGGCUAACAUUUAUGCACCAAAUUGGGAUAACAUUUCAUUCUUCACAAAUGUAUUGGACACACACCACCGAAUACUUCACAGAUAUGGACACACACCGCCAAAUACUUCACAGAUAUGGACACACACCGCCAAAUACUUCACAGAUAUGGACACACACCACCAAAUACUUCACAGAUAUGGACACACACCACCGAAUACUUCACAGAUAUGGACACACACCGCCAAAUACUUCACAGAUAUGGACACACACCGCCAAAUACUUGGUGGCGAUAUGAUGUGUGUACUGUCGCCCAGUCUGGAUCGUAGCUCUUCUAAGGUAUCAUCAUCAUCAAACACAGUAAACACAAUUCAGCUAUUUCUUAAGACAUAUGGCAUAUCUGAUGCGUGGGGUUUCUGCAAUCCCACAGCUUAGGGAGUAUUAUUUUUUCUCACCAGUUCAUAAGACCUUCUCACGUAUAGAGUACUUUUUCCUAGACAAUACUUUUCUGCCACUUAUCACGGAGUGUGAUUACCAAGUCAUUUCGGAUCCUUCUCCUCUUACUAUGAAACUACUUCUACCAAAUACACAUUCUAAUUAUCGCCCUUGACAGCUUAACUCACUACUGCUAUCAGUGGAAACCUUAUAUGCUUUUCUAUCAUGUCAGUUGAGCUAUUUCUCGAGCUUAAUCAAACCCCUAGAAUGUCUCCUACGGCAGAAUGGGAAUCAACGAAGGCUUAUCUAAGGGGCCAAAUUAUUUAGUACAGCGCAGGAUUAAGGAAGUGCAAUGUUCAACGCCUAGGGGAACCUACAAAUAAAAUCUUGGAAUUUGGAUAUGACAUAUUCACACUAUUCAUCCGUAGAUUUACGAAAAACAACAUUUGACACUUCAGACAGAGUUUGAUCUUCUUUCAACUCGACAAAGCUGAAAAUCAAAUUAAUAAAUCUCGACACAAAAAUUAUGAACAUGGAGAGAAAUCAGGGAAAUUGCAAGCACACCAGCUGCGUCAGAGAACCUCAAAUCAAACCAAACCUGAGAUAACUGACGAGCUGGGUAUCAAAUGUAUUGAUCAUUUAGAGAUCAUAACAUUUACUCACAGUUAUACACUUCGGAAUCCGCUGGUAAUGCUACCUUACUCGACACCCUCUUUGAGAAC